CUCAAAUAAUGCCUUGUUUGCAGUUACUUCUGUUCAGACCCCAGGAGGCUUCUGCAUGAUGUCAGCAUCAAGCUGCUGUUAAAGGCACAGGUGCAAGGGCCAGCCCAAGACAUUUGACUGUCUGAGCUGAAGAACAAGAUGCCCCCCCACUUCGAUUCCAUGUACAGAAGCCAACCAGACUGGGAUCUGUCUCUAGAGGGCCUUCGAGGAAAGAAGGAUUAGGGAGGAGAAAAAGAGAAAACAGAGGGGAGAGAGGAAGACGAAAGGAGGACUAUCAGAACAAAAGGUGAAUAAAGAAACAGAUUGCAUCUAAACCUUGCCUGUCGUGUCCUCCUUACCAGCAAGAAGAUGCAAACAGCCCCCAAAAUGGUGUUAAAAUGUUUAAUAAAAAUGU